CAUUCACGGAGAGUUUGAUCCUGGCUCAGGACGAACGCUGGCGGCGUGCUUAACACAUGCAAGUCGAACGAUGAAGCCCUUCGGGGUGGAUUAGUGGCGAACGGGUGAGUAACACGUGGGCAAUCUGCCCUUCACUCUGGGACAAGCCCUGGAAACGGGGUCUAAUACCGGAUAACACUCUGUCCUGCAUGGGACGGGGUUGAAAGCUCCGGCGGUGAAGGAUGAGCCCGCGGCCUAUCAGCUUGUUGGUGGGGUAAUGGCCUACCAAGGCGACGACGGGUAGCCGGCCUGAGAGGGCGACCGGCCACACUGGGACUGAGACACGGCCCAGACUCCUACGGGAGGCAGCAGUGGGGAAUAUUGCACAAUGGGCGAAAGCCUGAUGCAGCGACGCCGCGUGAGGGAUGACGGCCUUCGGGUUGUAAACCUCUUUCAGCAGGGAAGAAGCGCAAGUGACGGUACCUGCAGAAGAAGCGCCGGCUAACUACGUGCCAGCAGCCGCGGUAAUACGUAGGGCGCAAGCGUUGUCCGGAAUUAUUGGGCGUAAAGAGCUCGUAGGCGGCUUGUCACGUCGGAUGUGAAAGCCCGGGGCUUAACCCCGGGUCUGCAUUCGAUACGGGCUAGCUAGAGUGUGGUAGGGGAGAUCGGAAUUCCUGGUGUAGCGGUGAAAUGCGCAGAUAUCAGGAGGAACAC
rnacentral:rRNA from 1 species